CAGGCCUAACACAUGCAAGUCGAGCGGAAACGACAACAUUGACCCUUCGGGUGAUUUGUUGGGCGUCGAGCGGCGGACGGGUGAGUAAUGCCUGGGAAAUUGCCCUGAUGUGGGGGAUAACCAUUGGAAACGAUGGCUAAUACCGCAUAAUGUCUACGGACCAAAGAGGGGGACCUUCGGGCCUCUCGCUUCAGGAUAUGCCCAGGUGGGAUUAGCUAGUUGGUGAGGUAAUGGCUCACCAAGGCGACGAUCCCUAGCUGGUCUGAGAGGAUGAUCAGCCACACUGGAACUGAGACACGGUCCAGACUCCUACGGGAGGCAGCAGUGGGGAAUAUUGCACAAUGGGCGCAAGCCUGAUGCAGCCAUGCCGCGUGUAUGAAGAAGGCCUUCGGGUUGUAAAGUACUUUCAGUCGUGAGGAAGGCGUUGAAGUUAAUAGCUUCAUCGUUUGACGUUAGCGACAGAAGAAGCACCGGCUAACUCCGUGCCAGCAGCCGCGGUAAUACGGAGGGUGCGAGCGUUAAUCGGA
rnacentral:rRNA from 1 species